CAGUCGCCACGGGGAUACAGAGGGUGCGAGCGUUAAUCGGAUUUACUGGGCGUAAAGCGUGCGUAGGCGGCUUCUUAAGUCGGAUGUGAAAUCCCUGAGCUUAACUUAGGAAUUGCAUUCGAUACUGGGAAGCUAGAGUAUGGGAGAGGAUGGUAGAAUUCCAGGUGUAGCGGUGAAAUGCGUAGAGAUCUGGAGGAAUACCGAUGGCGAAGGCAGCCAUCUGGCCUAAUACUGACGCUGAGGUACGAAAGCAUGGGGAGCAAACAGGAUUAGAUACCCGCGUAGUCCCUGUCUCUUAUAC
rnacentral:rRNA from 1 species